rnacentral:tRNA from 1 species
ACUAUUUUGGCAGACUAGUGCAGUAAAUUUAGAAUUUACAUAUGUAAUUUAUAUUACAAAUAGUA